rnacentral:rRNA from 1 species
UACAGAGGGGGCAAGCGUUAUUCGGAAUUAUUGGGCGUAAAGGGCGCGUAGGCGGCCUGGCAAGUGGAAGGUGAAAUCCCUCGGCUCAACUGAGGAACUGCACGGGAAACUGCUUGGCUUGAGUUCGGGAGAGGGAAGCGGAAUUCCGGGUGUAGCGGUGAAAUGCGUAGAUAUCCGGAGGAACACCGGUGGCGAAGGCGGCUUCCUGGACCGACACUGACGCUGAGGCGCGAAAGCUAGGGGAGCAAACGGG